rnacentral:rRNA from 1 species
UUGGUCCUACGGGAGGCAGCAGUGGGGAAUAUUGGACAAUGGGGGGAACCCUGAUCCAGCGACGCCGCGUGAGUGAAGAAGUAUUUCGGUAUGUAAAGCUCUUUCAGCAGGGAAGAAAGAAAUGACGGUACCUGACUAAGAAGCCCCGGCUAACUACGUGCCAGCAGCCGCGGUAAUACGUAGGGGGCAAGCGUUAUCCGGAUUUACUGGGAGUAAAGGGAGCGUAGACGGCAAUGACAGUCUGGAGUGAAAGGCG